rnacentral:rRNA from 1 species
UUUAGAUCAUGGCUCAAAUUGAACGCUGGCGGAAUGCUUCCCUCUUGCAAGUCGAACGGCAGCACGGACUUCGGUCUGGGGGCGAGGGGCGAACGGGUGAGUAAUAUAUCGAAACGUGCCCAGUCGGGGGGAAUAACGUAGGGAAAAUUACGCUAAUACCGCAUACAAUCUAUGGAUGAAAGCGGGGGAUCGCAAGACCUCGCGCGAUUGGAGCGGCCGAUAUCAAAUUAGGUAGUUGGUGAGGUAAAGGCUCACCAAGCCGACAAUCUGUAGUUGGUCUGAGAGGACAACCAGCCACACUGGAACUGAGACACGGUCCAAACUCCUACGGGAGCCACCAGUGGGAAAUUUUGGACAAUGGACGCAAGUCUGAUCCAGCCUUUCCGCGUGCAGGACGAAGGCCUUCGGGUUGUAAACUGCUUUUGUACAGAACGAAAA